rnacentral:tRNA from 1 species
UCCCUGGUAGUCCAGGGGCUAAGACUCUGCACUCCCAAUGCACGGGGCAUGGGUUCGAUCCCUAGUCAGGGAA